rnacentral:rRNA from 1 species
AGAGUUUGAUUCUGGCUCAGAUUGAACGCUGGCGGCGUGCUUAACACAUGCAAGUCGAACGUGAAAGUCCUUCGGGGCGAGUAAAGUGGCGCACGGGUGAGUAACGCGUGGAUAAUCUACCCUUAAGAUGGGGAUAACGGCUGGAAACGGUCGCUAAUACCGAAUACGCUCCCGAUUUUAUCAUUGGGGGGAAAGAUGGCCUCUGCUUGCAAGCUAUCGCUUAAGGAUGAGUCCGCGUCCCAUUAGCUAGUUGGCGGGGUAACGGCCCACCAAGGCAACGAUGGGUAGCCGGUCUGAGAGGAUGACCGGCCACACUGGAACUGGAACACGGUCCAGACUCCUACGGGAGGCAGCAGUGGGGAAUAUUGCGCAAUGGGCGAAAGCCUGACGCAGCGACGCCGCGUGAGGGAUGAAGGUUCUCGGAUCGUAAACCUCUGUCAGGGGGGAAGAAACCCCCUCGUGUGAAUAAUGCGAGGGCUUGACGGUACCCCCAAAGGAAGCACCGGCUAACUCCGUGCCAGCAGCCGCGGUAAUACGGAGGGUGCAAGCGUUAAUCGGAAUCACUGGGCGUAAAGCGCACGUAGGCGGCUUGGUAAGUCAGGGGUGAAAUCCCACAGCCCAACUGUGGAACUGCCUUUGAUACUGCCAGGCUUGAGUACCGGAGAGGGUGGCGGAAUUCCAGGUGUAGGAGUGAAAUCCGUAGAUAUCUGGAGGAACACCGGUGGCGAAGGCGGCCACCUGGACGGUAACUGACGCUGAGGUGCGAAAGCGUGGGUAGCAAACAGGAUUAGAUACCCUGGUAGUCCACGCUGUAAACGAUGAUUACUAGGU